UGGGGAAUAUUGGACAAUGGGGGCAACCCUGAUCCAGCGAUGCCGCGUGGGUGAAGAAGGCCUUCGGGUUGUAAAGCCCUUUAGGUUGGGAAGAAGGGUGAUGGAGGAUAAUGCCAUCACUUUGACGGUACCGACAGAAUAAGCACCGGCAAACUCUGUGCCAGCAGCCGCGGUAAUACAGAGGGUGCGAGCGUUAAUCGGAAUUACUGGGCGUAAAGGGCGCGUAGGCGGUUAGGAAGGUGUGAUGUGAAAGCCCUGGGCUUAACCUAGGAAGUGCAUCGCAAACCAACUAGCUGGAGUAUAAGAGAGGGUGGCGGAAUUUCCGGUGUAGCGGUGAAAUGCGUAGAGAUCGGAAGGAACGUCAAUGGCGAAGGCAGCCACCUGGCUUAAUACUGACGCU
rnacentral:rRNA from 1 species